rnacentral:rRNA from 1 species
AUACGGAGGGGGCUAGCGUUGUUCGGAAUUACUGGGCGUAAAGCGUACGUAGGCGGACUGAUCAGUUGGGGGUGAAAUCCCAGGGCUUAACCCUGGAACUGCCUUCAAUACUGUCAGUCUUGAGUUUGGGAGAGGUGAGUGGAAUUCCUAGUGUAGAGGUGAAAUUCAUAGAUAUUAGGAGGAACACCAGUGGCGAAGGCGGCUCACUGGCCCAUUACUGACGCUGAGGUACGAAAGCGUGGGGAGCAAACAGGAUUAGAAACCCUUGUAGUCC